GACAAACGCUGGCGGCGUGCCUAAUACAUGCAAGUCGAACGCAUUUUCUUUCACCGUAGCUUGCUACACCGAAAGAAAAUGAGUGGCGAACGGGUGAGUAACACGUGGGUAACCUGCCCAUCAGCGGGGGAUAACACUUGGAAACAGGUGCUAAUACCGCAUAAUUCCAUUUACCGCAUGGUAAAUGGAUGAAAGGCGCUUUUGCGUCACUGAUGGAUGGACCCGCGGUGCAUUAGCUAGGUGGUGGGGUAACGGCCUACCAAGGCUGCGAUGCAUAGCCGACCUGAGAGGGUGAUCGGCCACACUGGGACUGAGACACGGCCCAGACUCCUACGGGAGGCAGCAGUAGGGAAUCUUCGGCAAUGGACGCAAGUCUGACCGAGCAACGCCGCGUGAUUGAAGAAGGUUUUCGGAUCGUAAAACUCUGUUGUUAGAGAAGAACAAGGAUGAGAGUGGAAAGUUCAUCCCUUGACGGUAGCUAACCAGAAAGCCACGGCUAACUACGUG
rnacentral:rRNA from 1 species